GCGGCCUGCAAUUUCUGCACUCUGAAGGAAUUAUCCAUCGAGACUUCAAACCGGAAAACAUUCUGUUCAGCAGCAAGGGACACAUCAAGAUUGCUGACUUUGGAUUGGCUGCUGAGAACGUAUUUGGCAACAAAACCAUCUCAGGAUCAAUUGGGACAUUGCACAACAUGGCCCCAGAGAUGAUCCAGUGUCAAAUCUACAAUUCAGCAGUAGACUGGUGGGCUUUUGGGAUUGUCUUGUGCAAAAUGGCCACUGGAAGAUCACCUUUUUAUGAAGGCCGUAAAGCAGAGAAAUGCAUCCAUUUUAUCCUCAAUUGCCAGCCCAGCUAUUCAGA